GGAAAAUUACACUGAACAGUAAGUGGAAUGGUGCAUGAGGGAAAAGAAAAUACAGAAUUGGCUGACUUCUUCCAACACCUCUCUGGCAGGAGAAGGGGGACACUGCCUGAUUACUUCCUACUGCAGAUUCUUUUCCCAUAUAGGUUAUUACAGAGAUUAUCUUUUCAUGCAUGCAUGAAAAUGGGAAUGCAUAUGGAAAACUGAACAAAAUUUGGCUUCUGAAAAGCAAGAAAGGCGUUUUUGCUUCCAAAUAAGCACCCGUUUCUGAUCAUGUGAGCUCAGAACUAAGAUGACACUAAGAGAUUGGAUGGAAAAUCACAGUGGCCCAGCUGCUGCAUUCUGCUGUGUACAGAGCUAUCAG